CCUACGGGUGGCAGCAGUGGGGAAUAUUGCACAAUGGGGGAAACCCUGAUGCAGCGACGCCGCGUGAGCGAUGAAGUAUUUCGGUAUGUAAAGCUCUAUCAGCAGGGAAGAAAGUGACGGUACCUGACUAAGAAGCCCCGGCUAACUACGUGCCAGCAGCCGCGGUAAUACGUAUGGGGCAAGCGUUAUCCGGAUUUACUGGGUGUAAAGGGAGCGUAGACGGCUGUGCAAGCCAGAUGUGAAAGCCCGGGGCUCAACCACGGGACUGCAUUUGGAACUGUGUGGCUGGAGUGUCGGAGAGGCAGGCGGAAUUCGUAGUGUAGCGGUGAAAUGCGUAGAUAUUAGGAGGAACACCAGUGGCGAAGGCGGCCUGCUGGACGGUAACUGACGCUGAGGCUCGAAAGCGUGGGGAGCAAACAGGAUUAGAUACCCGUGUAGUC
rnacentral:rRNA from 1 species